rnacentral:lncRNA from 1 species
AUUUAACACGAUGUCCCGGGAGCUUUCUACAUUGGCCCACUUAGUUCGACCUCAUUUUCUUUGAUGGCUGCAGAGGCUUCUGUCCUGUGGGCGAUGCUGCUGUGUAAGGAGCUCUCCUCUGCCGGCGAAGAAUUAAGGUGAAUUUCAGUCAGUGUGUCAAAUUCCAUAAAAGAUGCAACUGCAGUUUGACUGGGAUUCCACGGCACAUCUGGAUCACUUUGGGAGACCGUUGACAUCUUUACAAUGUUAAUUUUCUCAUUCAAGAAGAACAUGUCUCUCCAUUUACUCAGAAAGUUUCUUUUGUGUCUGCCAAUAAAGUUUUACUUUUCCUCACA